rnacentral:miRNA from 1 species
GGGUUGGCCAAAAAGUUCGCUCGGGUUUUUCCGUAAGAUGUUUGGGAAAAACCUGAACAAACUUUUUGACCAAUCCA